AGUGAACGCUGGCGGCGUGCUUAACACAUGCAAGUCGAACGAGAACGGAAUAUAGCUUGCUAUAUUUGUCAGCUAAGUGGCGCACGGGUGAGUAAUGUAUAGAUAACCUGCCCUUAAGAAAGGAAUGACAGUUGGAAACGACUGCUAAUGCCCUAUAUGCCUUUAAUACAUAAGUAUGCAAGGGAAACGCUUUAGUGCUCAAGGAUGGGUCUGUAUGGUAUCAGCUUGUUGGUGAGGUAAUGGCUCACCAAGGCUAUGACGCCUAACUGGUUUGAGAGGAUGAUCAGUCACACUGGAACUGAGACACGGUCCAGACUCCUACGGGAGGCAGCAGUGGGGAAUAUUGCACAAUGGACGAAAGUCUGAUGCAGCAACGCCGCGUGGAGGAUGACACAUUUCGGUGCGUAAACUCCUUUUAUAUAGGAAGAUAAUGACGGUACUAUAUGAAUAAGCACCGGCUAACUCCGUGCCAGCAGCCGCGGUAA
rnacentral:rRNA from 1 species